rnacentral:rRNA from 1 species
UACGGAGAGUGCUAGCGUUGUUCGGAAUUACUGGGCGUAAAGGGCGUCUAGGCGGCCUGACAAGUCAGAUGUGAAAUGCCUGGGCUCAACCGAGGACGUGCAUCUGAAACUAACAGGCUCGAGUAUCGGAGGGGGAGCCGGAACUUCCGGUGGAGCGGUGAAAUGCGUUGAGAUCGGAAGGAACGCCCGUGGCGAAAGCGGGCUCCUGGACCCCGACCUGACGCCUGAGACGCGAAAGCCAGGGGAGCGAACGGG